AGCAGCCGCGGUAAUUCCAGCUCCAAUAGCGUAUAUUAAAGUUGUUGCAGUUAAAAAGCUCGUAGUUGAAUUUCGGGGUUCAUACGUUGGUCGGGCUUUUUUGGUCUGUACUGGCGUAAUGGAUUCCUACCUUCUGAAUAACCGGCAUGUCAUUAAUUUGGUGCGCCGGGGAAGCAGGACUGUUACCUUGAAAAAUUAGAGUGCUUAAAGCAGGCUAUCGCCUGAGUACAUUAGCAUGGAAUAAUGAAAUAGGACGGCAUGGUUCUAUUUUGUUGGUUUCUAGGAUCACCGUUAUGAUUAAUAGGGAUAGUUGGGGGCAUUAGUAUUCAAUUGUCAGAGGUGAAAUUCUUGGAUUUAUUGAAGACUAACUUCUGCGAAAGCAUUUGCCAAGGAUGUUUUCAUUAAUCAAGAACGAAAGUUAGGGGAUCGAAGACGAUCAGAUACCGUCGUAGUCUUAACCAUAAACUAUGCCGACUAGGGAUCGGACGAUGUUAAUUUUUAAUGACUCGUUCGGCGCCUU
rnacentral:rRNA from 1 species